AUAUCCCGAAGGCGUGGCUGUGCUUGCUUGUCUUGCGCUUUCAUUGCUCUGACGGAUGCUUUUAUUAGACCAAGCCGCUGAGGACUUGGGGGUUCGCUCUCUUGUUCGACUCGUGUUAUGGUGACUCUGGAUAACCAAUUCUGACAAGCGCACGUACUUCUCUUCUGAGCGAGACGGCGCUGCCACUUUCGAGUGUCUGCCUUAUCAGCUAUCAACCGUUCGUUAUGCGCGACCGAUGGCUUUGACGGGUAACGGGGAAUCAGGGUUCGAUUCCGGAGAGGCAGCCUGAGAGACGGCUACCACGUCCAAGGACGGCAGCAGGCACGCAAAUUACCCAAUCCCAGCAAAUGGGGGAGGUAGUGACGAAAUCUAACGAUGCGGGCGCCCUUUCUGGGGCCCCGCAAUCGGAAUGGGCACUUUCUAAACAACCUGUUGAGAACCUACUGAAGGGCAAGUCUGGUGCCAGCAGCCGCGGUAAUUCCAGCUUCAGCAGCAUCUAUUAAAGUUGCUGCGGUUAAAAGGCUCGCAGUUGAAUGUCUGUAUCGAGCGCAGGUCAGGUGGACGUUGGGGCGUGGAAGUACGGGCUGUUGGAUGUUCGGAGGGCUUCGUGCUCGACGGCUCCUUCGGCUUUUCCACACACCCCCGUCCGUAACAAGCCUCCUCGCUCGGGUACAUAACGGGAAUCGGUCAAACGGAGUGUGGUCUUGCUUUUGGAGGUUAACGCUUUCAGGAGUGUGGCUACGUUAAGCUCCAUCGGUUUCACGGUCACCUUGAGUAAAUCAGAGUGCUCAAAGCAGUCGUAGGGGCCUUGCGCCCUGUGAACAGUCUUGACGGACUGACUUGGUUUUGCAUGGCAUGUCGGAAGACGACGUCGUGUGCUGGCUCAGAGGAUAAAUCAGUGGUACAAGCCAGCCUCGACGUAAUGAUUAAAAGGGACGGUCGAGGGCAUUGGUAUUGCGAGGCGAGAGGUGAAAUUCUGUGACCCCCGCAAGACCUCCUGAAGCGAAAGCGUCUGCCAAGGACGUUUUCAUUAAUCAUGAACGAAAGUUAGAGGAUCGAAGGCGAUCAGAUACCGCCCUAGUUCUAACCCUAAACGAUGCCAACCAUCAAUCCGCGCGUAGCACCCUUCUUAACGGGCUCGGCGGGCAGCUCCCCACUCACGGGAAACCAGAGCCUCUGGGUUCCGGGGGGAGUCUGGUUGCAAAGCUGAAACUUAAAGGAAUUGACGGAAAGGCACCACCAGGCGUGGAGCCUGCGGCUUAAUUUGACUCAACACGGGCCAUCUCACCAGGCCAGCACUCUUGUACGAUUGACAGAUUGAGAGCUCUUUCUCGAUUCAGUGGAUGGUGGUGCAUGGCCGUUCUUAGUUGGUGGAGUGAUCUGUCUGGUUAAUUCCGAUAACGAACGAGACUCUCCCCUGCUAACUAGUCGGUUGGAUCUUGAUCAGCGGGUUGCGUGCUGAGUAACUCUCGCUGCGUGUGAUGUGCGUUUCGUGCUUAACGGUGCGUUGCGUCUUGCGCGUAGUGUUGGAUGCCUUGGAUCACACUGCACCCCAAGUCCGCCGCUUAUGCUAUAACUCUUCUUAGAGGGAUUCACGGCACUGAAGCCGUAAGAGACUGAGAGCAAUAACAGGUCUGUGAUGCCCUUAGAUGCUCUGGGCCGCACGCGCGCUACAAUGCCGGGCACAGCAGGUGUUUCUCCUGCUCCGACAGGAGCGGGUAACCCUCUGAAAGCCAGUGUUCUUGCAAGUACUUCCUCCCUCGUGGAGUUGUACAAAGGCGUGCUUGGGCCUGGGACUUGCAAUUCUUUCCCACCAACGAGGAAUGCCUAGUAGCGGCGGGUCACUGAGCCCGCUGUGACUCAGUCCCUGCCCUUUGUACACACCGCCCGUCGCUACUACCGAUUGGGUGUACCAGUGAGAGCCUUGGACUGGCGUCCGUUGUUAUUCGCAAGA
rnacentral:rRNA from 1 species